rnacentral:rRNA from 1 species
GACCUGCGGAGGAUCAUUAUCGUAGGGCUUCGGCCCUGUCGAGAUAGAACCCUUGCCUUUUUGAGUACCUUUCGUUUCCUCGGCAGGCUCGCCUGCCAAUGGGGACCACAAAAAACACUUUGCAGUACCUGUAACAGUCUGAACAAACAAAACAAAAAUUAAAACUUUCAACAACGGAUCUCUUGGUUCUGGCAUCGAUGAAGAACGCAGCGAAAUGCGAUAAGUAGUGUGAAUUGCAGAAUUCAGUGAAUCAUCGAAUCUUUGAACGCACAUUGCGCCCUUUGGUAUUCCUUAGGGCAUGCCUGUUCGAGCGUCAUUUAAACCUUCAAGCUAAGCUUGGUGUUGGGUGACUGUCCGCUUCACUGCGGACUCGCCUCAAAAUUAUUGGCGGCCGGUACAUUGGCUCUCGAGCGCAGCAGAAACGCGUAACUCGAGGUCCUCGUGCUGGCUCCCAGAAGCUAUCUUCACAAUUUUGACCUCGGAUCAGGUAGGGAUACCCGCUGAACUUAAGCAUAUCAAUAAGCGGAGGA